rnacentral:misc_RNA from 1 species
GGCUCAAAUUUCUUUCCAUAAUAUUGCUCGACGACACUUCUGAACUUCUCAAUCCCCCAGGAACUGAUCAAAUAUUUCAUUCUACUGUAUUUUCUAUCAUCUCUCCUCCCAUUUUCUCGUUGGGUAACAACAAUAGCUUUCACUGCAUAUAAAAUGUCUUCUUUUGGUACAUAACCCAAAGGUUCAGCCAGGCGUGGAAAAGUGGUCUCCAACCUAUGUGUUCUUCCCAUACCACCACCAACAUAUAUAUUGAACCCCUGAGGCUCCCCAUUCGCAUCAGUAACCACAACAACACCAAUAUCAUUUGUGAGAAUAUCCACAGAGUUAUCUGUUGGUACAGUGACUGCAAUUUUAAACUUCCUAGGCAAGAACUGGGUUCCAUAAAUAGGCUCCGGCGAGCCAGGGAAGUUCGUUCCAUGAGAAUUGUCAUUCCGGGCCUUCACCACCUCAGGAGGUUCUGCAGUCAUGAUUUUCUCACCAUCCACCCACAUAUCAUAGUAGAACCC